CUGAGGACGAAAAACAGUCUUGAAAAACAAAUCUAUACCAGCCCAAUAAUGUGUUGCAUUAUAAUAAUGUACGGAUACAGAUAAGGAAAAGAUAACUUAAAAUUAAAAACUAUUUCUCCAAAUGAAAGAUGUUUCAGUCCAACUAACUUGACAUAUUAAGGAGAGUUUAGUAAUGGGACUGAAAUGGUGAAUGCAUGCUAUUGCACAGCUGUAAAAAAUGAAGUUAUCUUGUUUAUUUUGAAGUUUUAAGAGUGAGCUCUUCACUUUUCACAAACUUGAUGAUCUCAGCCAAACCAAUGCUUUCCCAUGUGAGAGGUUAUACUGCACAUGCGUAGCAUAACGCUGCACCAAUCAGCAUCUCAUAGAGAUGUAUUGAAUCAAUGCAUUUCUAUGGAUAGCGUUCAGCACCAAUGUAAGUUGGUCUGCAACAUAUGCCAAUGGAAACGCUCAACGUAAGUGCUGUACUCAAUGCAGCACUGGACUAGGAAGCACCUCUUGUGGUCGUCUGAGUGACUGCCACUGGAGGUGUUACUAGGCAUCAAUGUGUGCGUUAUUUCUCCCCAGGCCAUAGAUCAUAGCACCGGGAAAAAUAUUUUGCGGCAAUUUAUUGCUGGUCCACGAAAGCUUUCACCUGACGGUAUACUCGGGUGAAAGCUUUCGCAGACUGGCAAUAGAUUCUUGCAGACCGGCGCCGGUCCACGGACCAGUGGUUCUAGAUCACUGCACUAUAUGGUCGCGCACCAGCAGAAGGUAUACCGGCCAGUCUAGCGCUGUUCACAGAGUGUCAUAUCAACAUAUAACAACUUUUGUGACAAUAGCCCUUUGACUCUUCUCACUAUUGUCAG